rnacentral:piRNA from 1 species
UACAUGGCCCUCGGUGCUAAAGUGUCACAUC